CUUACCCCCUUAGUGCAAUUUUCUCCAUUUCACCCCCACCGAAUUUUAGGCUUCUGUGGAUUGCCAGCAGGGGAUUUUAUUUCUCUUUCCGGGUAGAUGUUAAUGUCUGCUCCGAGCCUCUGGAGCCGGUCCAGACGUCAGCGGUUCCGCCCGAACCCGCAUCUAGCUCACUCUCCUGAACCCCGUCUCACCACCCGCUCCUCUUCAUCUUCAUUGACCCCACACCUGGCCUGCUUCUGCUGCAAACGCCAUCCCCGAGGAAGCAGAGGGAGCCAGCCAGCAAAUUCCUAAAGCGUUAACAGCUCCCCUAGAUCCAGUGGGAAAGAAGAGGAGGAUUCCUGGAGGGGACUAGGUGUUGUCACAGAUCUGGUUCGGCCGAGGGUCCUCAUUUCUAUGAGAAAGGAAAUUAACCAGGAAUGACAUAUUUGACAAUAAAGAACAUGAAGAGAUGGUUCCUGGACCUGAACAGGAAAAGCCGGUUCUUGGAUCCUACAAAGAAUCUUCACGUGCA